rnacentral:rRNA from 1 species
GAUGAACGCUGGCGGCGUGCCUAAUACAUGCAAGUCCAGCGAACAGAUAAGGAGCUUGCUCCUUUGACGUUAGCGGCGGACGGGUGAGUAACACGUGGAUAACCUACCUAUAAGACUGGGAUAACUUCGGGAAACCGGAGCUAAUACCGGAUAACAUAUUGAACCGCAUGGUUCAAUAGUGAAAGGCGGCUUUGCUGUCACUUAUAGAUGGAUCCGCGCCGUAUUAGCUAGUUGGUAAGGUAACGGCUUACCAAGGCAACGAUACGUAGCCGACCUGAGAGGGUGAUCGGCCACACUGGAACUGAGACACGGUCCAGACUCCUACGGGAGGCAGCAGUAGGGAAUCUUCCGCAAUGGGCGAAAGCCUGACGGAGCAACGCCGCGUGAGUGAUGAAGGUCUUCGGAUCGUAAAACUCUGUUAUCAGGGAAGAACAAAUGUGUAAGUAACUGUGCACAUCUUGACGGUACCUGAUCAGAAAGCCACGGCUAACUACGUG